UUUUCACUCUUGCUGAGAUAAUCGGGGUCAGGUUUAUGGAACCUAUAUUCAAUACCUAUUUAAAACCUGCACAAUUUGAUUUAUGUUUUAUACGUCCAAAGGAAGCUUUUUAUACAUAACUUGAAGCUCCUAUACGAAUAAUUCCAAUCGUUGAAAAUUGUACUAUGAUUAUUGAAAAAAUACAUUUUACCACGUUUUGAAUUCGCGAGCUGAGAUACGCUCUUUUCAUAAGUCAUUCUAUUAUCCAAUGUGUUACUUUCGUCUAACCGUUACGCUAUGUUACCAUAUUGUUGUUUACUUUCGUCAAUACGUUACGUCAGCUGCACAACAUAAAUGUGACAUACGACAAUUUGGCAGCAAACAAAAACAGUGUUUAUUUACAAAAUUAGCACUUUGUUUUUGCUAAACUGUUUUGUUUUGUGUUUUCUUCUAACCAUCUGGAGAUUGUAUCGUUGAGUGAAAAUUAGAAAUCCAUCCCCCAGAUAAACUGCAUGUAGCGGAUGAGGUCGUCGAUGGAGCACAGAUCACAAUUCGCAUGAUUGUGGCAACACCUGUAGGUUGGAGGAUUGCGAAUCUUUAAGCUGAGCUCGUCAAAAUAGCAGAUGGACAAAUUCACACAACGUUUAUUCAGUACCAGACAAGCACAUAUUCAAGUAUCUGGAAUACUGAAUGAUCCCGAAAAAAGUUGGCAAAUGUGCUGGUACGGUGAUUUGGACGUUACUACCGCAGGCGCAGACGGAGUUUUGAUUGUGUUUGACUUCCGAUGGCAAGUGACGAGUAGGACGAGGAUUACGAUGGUUUCGAUGAUAUUGAGAAGGAGAAGAGAGCCGACAUGUUGGUCUUGGCCGGUUUAUCCUAAUGACAACGCAUAAAAUCGUCCACGUUCAAGCUCUACCAGUGGCUCUAGACGGCUUUUUGCAAACGAGUGGAGUGUAAAUACGGACUCAGAUAGGGUAAGUACUAAUUAUGCUCAUUUCACCCAACGGGUAAAAAAUUGACACGAAAAAAGCCAAAAUUUUGAACAAUCAUUCAUUUUUUCGCGAAAUUUAUGCGAAUGCGGAAAUCAUGCGGAUUCUGUAUUCUUAAUGUUGUAAUGUUUUGUUCCACUCCGGCUAUGGCCUUUGUAAUUAUAAUAUUGCUGCCCUGAAGUCAUUGUUGCGAGAUGUUGUGCGACAGCUAGAAUGCAAUAAAAUAGUUUAAUAUGUUUUGAUUAUUGUUUAUUUUACCAAGUGGCAGCUGAAAACCAGAAGAGUCAUCCAUUAGAUGUUUUCCAUGUUUGAAAAUAAAAGAAAACCAAAACGGCGAAAGUCGAA